GGGGCCGCGCGUGGCCACCACAGGGACCACAAAGGCCACCACGAUUCAUGCAUGGCAGUCAGCAGGGCCAGAAGGACGUGGGGAGCUCACCAAAGUCCAUUCGUGGCGGUAGUUGAGAUCAGAGGACUGUGGAAGGGUGGAAGGGGUCAUGCAUGGUGGUCAGCAGGGUGAGAAGCAUGUGGGGAGGUCACCAAAAUCAAUGCUUGGUAGUUUGUAGGGCAGAAAGGCCUAUGGGAUGCUGAUAGUGGCCAUGCAUGGCAGUCAGUAGGGCCAGAAGGACGUGGGGAGGUCACCAAAAUCAAUGCAUGGUGAUCUUUGGGAUCAGAGGACCAUGGAAGGGUGGAAGGGGCCAUGCAUGGUGGUCAGUAGGGUGAGAAGGUCUUGGAGAGUCCGCCAAAGUUCAUGCAUGGUGGUUUGUAGGACAGAAAGGUGGAUGGGAUGCUGAUAGUGGCCAUGCAUGGUUUCUGUAGGGCCAGAAGGACGUGGGGAGGUCACCAAAAUCAAUGCAUGGUGGUCUUUGGGAUCAGAGGACCAUGGAAGGGGCCAUGCAUGGUGGCCUGUGGGGU